GUGAGUUUGGCCGAGUGGUUAAGGCGUCAGGUUUAGGUUGGACAGUCCUUAGGGAAACCAUCUUAAUAAGCCUCCUGAUAUCUUCGGAUGCACGAGUUCGAACCUCGUAACUCACA
rfam:Ascoidea rubescens DSM 1968 unplaced genomic scaffold ASCRTscaffold_2, whole genome shotgun sequence.